rnacentral:rRNA from 1 species
UACAGAGGUCUCAAGCGUUGUUCGGAUUCAUUGGGCGUAAAGGGUGCGCAGGCGGCGGUUCGCGUGGCGAGAUGAAAUCUCCUGGCUUACCUGGGAGGAUGGUCGCCAGACGGGAUCGCUUGAGGGUCGGAGAGGGGCGUGGAAUUCCGGGUGGAGCGGUGAAAUGCGUAGAGAUCCGGAGGAACACCGACGGCGUAGGCAGCGCCCUGGACGACACCUGACGCUGAGACGCGAAAGCGUGGGGAGCAAACAGG